GGAAGGACUUCUAUUCUUCCCAAAAAAGUAGAGAUAAAUUAAUUCUGAGGUUUACAAACAUAACAUAUUCAAUACCAAUCUUAUGUUAUAGAAAGAUAAUUACGUGGUAGGACAGUAAAGAUUAGAAUGAUGAAGGGGAUAAUUCAAGUAUUUGGACUUUGUUCACAGGAAAGGAAAUUGGGAUUAGGAAAAGAACAUAUUUACUGGUAAAAUACACAAAAGAAGAGAAAUCAGGUGAUAACAAUUCAAAAAAGGAGUCCUUG
rnacentral:misc_RNA from 1 species